AACUCCAGAUUUUUAUUGAAUAAAAUCCCACUAUCUGCCAUGGCAGGAUUCGAAUCCAUGUGCCCAAACAUUCCCUGGAUCUCCAACAAUAAUACCACUAGGCCAUCUCCUCCCCAUUUACUUGCAGUAUUUCAUAACCAAACGUCUGUGUGACCUAUUCUUAACCUUUGCAGUGAUACAUUUGUAAUCAAAUCAGAAAUUAUGGAGUAUAAAUGCAAAUUUUCAAAUUCUAAAUAUUCAUGAUCAAGAAUUUUUGUAACAAUCUGAAACAUCACUGGGCUUUCCUUCUGCAUAUACAUCUGAAGUUUAGUUUUGUACAACUUACUGGAAUAAUUAUUUUUUUCUUUAUAUAGUGCUAAUAAUGAUAAAUAUGUUUUUCAACUGCAAAAAAAAAGCAAGAUGAAGAAUUGGUCCAAGGUCCCUAAAAGAUCGAAACCUGAAUUUUGUAUGUCACCGGCUAGAUCAAAAUCAUCACAUUUAUUUGAAGGUGCACAGAAGUCUAACAUAGGAACAGUAUUCAAGAGUAGAGAAGAUACUCAAUCAGAUGACACAGAGGAUGAAGAUUACUAUUUUUCAGUUACUGAUUAGCUU